AACAGUUUACGGCAGUUUGGUUUUACUUCUCAACCAGCCCAGUUCACUGAAGUUUAAAACAAUUCUACUAAGGAGCAUAGCCGAUCCAGAAACGGGUGAUUUAGCUAACCUCUGUGGAACUUGUAGAAGAAAUUUUAAGUACAAAAGAAAUUUAUAAACCCAGGAGAAAGAGCAUGCUGGUACUUUGCCAAUCCAUUGUUAUGGAAAGUCAUUCGCUUCUCGCCCAAGUCUACGACAAGAAAGGUGCAGCGUUCGCGGAGAAAACAGUUUGUUUGUACCACAUGCCACAAAGAAUUUUCUACACAAUCAGGCCUAAAUGAACACAAAAGAAAUGAGAAAAAGACCAGAAACAUUCAGUUGACAUUUGUGGAUUGAAGGCAAGCAAGUACUCUCGGCUAAGUCUCAUAUGGCAACACAUCCAGAAGAAAAACGGAAAAGAUGCCCUGUGUGUAGUGCUGCGUACAAACAUUCAAGUUCCUUAUCAAUGUUUAACUAUUACUAACUAAUGUUUUAUACGACAUAUGUUUUAACCGAAUAUAUAUCAGUAUAUCCUUAAAAUAUCUAUCCCUGUUUUUACAUUUUGUAUCUCUUCAUUUUAAAACUCAUAUCUGUAAAUAGCAAAACCGCUUUGCAAGUCAAACUGAACGAUUAUGGUAGCUGACUUAGGAUUAGCAUAUUCACAAAAUACACGUUUUUCCUUUCACUGAUAAUCUGAUUACGUAUUAAAUAUGUUUCAUUCGAGUAAUUAGAAAACUUUGGAAGUUUUCUGUGCGAAUACAUGACCACUGGAACAGAAUUUGUAUAAUUUGUACAUGUCAAAAAUAACAUUUUCUUGGUGGAUAAGCCAAUGCGAUCGGGCCGAGUAGAAAAGUUUUACAGGGUGUUUGUAUAUUUAGCGACGGUCUAGAAGGAAACCAUUAACACGGGAGAUAGAAUACUGUUUUCUCCUUUGCAUGCAACAUAUUUCAUAGAAAUUGGUUGAGAAAUAAAAAACUUACAUUGAUUUGAAGAUUUGAAUCGACGACUUUUGUUGAUGAUUUCUUCUUUGCGGAAUAGCGAUAUGACGUACAACGAUCACGUGAUUCGCCACCUUGUAAUUGUUGAGAUGAGCCUAGUGAGAAAAUGUUUUUCUGAGAAAAUAUCAGUGUCAGUAUGUAGAAAUUAAUAUUAUUACCGAUUAUUUGAUCUCAACACACUUUGUAAGUCUAGGGUUCUGCUUGCUGACUGAAUCUUACGGUUAAUAAUUCUCGCCAAGGUUGAGGUUGUUUCUGCAUUUCGAAGGUCUGAGCUUUGGUGGUCUGUAACGUCUUUGAGCGGGAUUAAAAUGAACUGCAAAAAGUACCCAAGCCAUGUGAAAAUGUGCAUGUGGUUAGAGGUUGGUGCAGUAACAAAAUAUUAUAAAUUUUAUAAAACUCAUGUUCAAUUUUUAUUU
rnacentral:lncRNA from 1 species